GACGAACGCUGGCGGCGUGCUUAACACAUGCAAGUCGAACGGAAAGGCCCCUUUGGGGGUACUCGAGUGGCGAACGGGUGAGUAACACGUGAGUAACCUGCCCUUGACUUCGGGAUAACUUCAGGAAACUGGGGCUAAUACCGGAUAGGAAUCCUUGCUGCAUGGUGGGGGUUGGAAAGCUUCGGCGGUUUUGGAUGGACUCGCGGCUUAUCAGCUUGUUGGUGGGGUAGUGGCUUACCAAGGCUUUGACGGGUAGCCGGCCUGAGAGGGCGACCGGCCACAUUGGGACUGAGGUACGGCCCAGACGCCUACGGGAGGCAGCAGUGGGGAAUAUUGCACAAUGGGCGGAAGCCUGAUGCAGCAACGCCGCGUGCGGGAUGACGGCCUUCGGGUUGUAAACCGCUUUCAGCAGGGGCGAAGCUUGUGGUGACGGUACCUGCAGAAGAAGCACCGGCUAACUACGUG
rnacentral:rRNA from 1 species